AUCCUCCAAAACUAUACAAGCAUCCGCAAAACUCUCCACACACCGAGAUAAACCAAGUAGCUCAGUUUGUUUACUUCUCACAGGAUAUGCUGGUGCUUUACCGCUCCAUGAGUCAAUCACCUGUGUUUCAGACUACUGCCAUGUCUUUAUAUGCAAUGCCUCAUGUUCAUUGAGUCACAUCUAUAUCACCAAUACAUGAUUUAUUAUUCCUUGAUGGUUCGUUUUCACCAAGAA
rnacentral:lncRNA from 1 species